AUAGCAGGCUACAAUUACAGUGCUUCUUUUUGUGAAAGUACUGCCAUUAUCCUGCUGAAAGAUAAUCUUGUGUUGAUCAUUUUUUUGUUUUCCCUUUAUGAGGGUAAAAUCAUGACAGACUGACAUGAACGAUU